AACGAACGCUGGCGGCAUGCCUAACACAUGCAAGUCGAACGAGACCUUCGGGUCUAGUGGCGCACGGGUGCGUAACGCGUGGGAACCUGCCCUUAGGUUCGGAAUAACUCCCCGAAAGGGGUGCUAAUACCGGAUAAUGUCUUCGGACCAAAGAUUUAUCGCCUUUGGAUGGGCCCGCGUUGGAUUAGCUAGUUGGUAGGGUAAAAGCCUACCAAGGCGACGAUCCAUAGCUGGUCUGAGAGGAUGAUCAGCCACACUGGGACUGAGACACGGCCCAGCCUCCUACGGGAGGAAGCAGUGGGGAAUAUGGAAAAAGGGGCGAAAGCUUAACCAAGCAACGCGGCGGGAGUGAAGAAGCCUUUGGGUUUGAAAAGUUUUUUUCCCCGGGAUGAUAAUGAGGGUCCGGGGAAAAGAAGCCCCGGCUACCCCCGUG
rnacentral:rRNA from 1 species